rnacentral:rRNA from 1 species
AUUGAACGCUGGCGGCAGGCCUAACACAUGCAAGUCGAACGGUAACAGGAAGCAGCUUGCUGCUUUGCUGACGAGUGGCGGACGGGUGAGUAAUGUCUGGGAAACUGCCUGAUGGAGGGGGAUAACUACUGGAAACGGUAGCUAAUACCGCAUAACGUCGCAAGACCAAAGAGGGGGACCUUCGGGCCUCUUGCCAUCGGAUGUGCCCAGAUGGGAUUAGCUAGUAGGUGGGGUAACGGCUCACCUAGGCGACGAUCCCUAGCUGGUCUGAGAGGAUGACCAGCCACACUGGAACUGAGACACGGUCCAGACUCCUACGGGAGGCAGCAGUGGGGAAUAUUGCACAAUGGGCGCAAGCCUGAUGCAGCCAUGCCGCGUGUAUGAAGAAGGCCUUCGGGUUGUAAAGUACUUUCAGCGGGGAGGAAGGGAGUAAAGUUAAUACCUUUGCUCAUUGACGUUACCCGCAGAAGAAGCACCGGCUAACUCCGUGCCAGCAGCCGCGGUAAUACGGAGGGUGCAAGCGUUAAUCGGAAUUACUGGGCGUAAAGCGCACGCAGGCGGUUUGUUAAGUCAGAUGUGAAAUCCCCGGGCUCAACCUGGGAACUGCAUCUGAUACUGGCAAGCUUGAGUCUCGUAGAGGGGGGUAGAAUUCCAGGUGUAGCGGUGAAAUGCGU